GGGGACGCGCGGGUUCGACAGGGGAGGUGAGUUGCAGGAUCGCAAGCUGAGGUGCCAUCAUCUCAUUAAACAGGUGGCAAAAAACAAUUGCCGAACCAGUAAUGGUUGCAGCCUAAUAAAGUAGGUUACCAUCCAACCUGACCCCCCCCCGACGGGUUGGGAUUGGGUGCCGUAAAGUUGGGGUGCCAUUGCCCCCACGCCGGUAAGGGUGAUGAAAGAUGUAUCGGCUGGCCUGUCCCAAACUCGGUCAGCAGAGAUGGGUCGGGUAAGAUUUAAGAGCUGACUAAGCUUGUAGCAAAUCCUGGGCGGCUUCUUCUGGACGGGGAGUUCGACUCUCCCCCGUCUCCACCA
rnacentral:tmRNA from 1 species